rnacentral:rRNA from 1 species
AUUGAACGCUGGCGGCAGGCUUAACACAUGCAAGUCGAGCGGAGAUGAGGUGCUUGCACCUUAUCUUAGCGGCGGACGGGUGAGUAAUGCUUAGGAAUCUGCCUAUUAGUGGGGGACAACAUUCCGAAAGGAAUGCUAAUACCGCAUACGUCCUACGGGAGAAAGCAGGGGAUCUUCGGACCCUGCGCUAAUAGAUGAGCCUAAGUCGGAUUAGCUAGUUGGUGAGGUAAAGGCCUACCAAGGCGACGAUCUGUAGCGGGUCUGAGAGGAUGAUCCGCCACACUGGGACUGCGACACGGCCCAGACUCCUACGGGAGGCAGCAGUGGGGAAUAUUGGACAAUGGGGGGAACCCUGAUCCAGCCAUGCCGCGUGUGUGAAGAAGGCCUUAUGGUUGUAAAGCACUUUAAGCGAGGAGGAGGCUACUGAGACUAAUACUCUUGGAUAGUGGACGUUACUCGCAGAAUAAGCACCGGCUAACUCUGUGCCAGCAGCCGCGGUAACAC